AUACUUACGGUCUCUCAGCUGGUGUGAGGUUGAGCCAGGAUGGAACCCAAGGCUCUCCGAGGCUCCCCACCACACCCUGCUGCUGAAGACCGCUCAGCGAGACUGUGCCGAGUGCCGAGG
rnacentral:pre_miRNA from 1 species